UGAGUUGAUCAGGUUACUGAGAUGUGUGA
rnacentral:piRNA from 1 species